rnacentral:lncRNA from 1 species
AAAUCAUUAAAUUUACUUUGGCAAAAAGAAAUCAAACUUUCAAAACUCAAAAAAGCUCUUGGUCCUUUUGUGUUUUGCUUAUAGUCGUCAAAGUUUUUCGUCUACUUUUAAAAAACUCGAUGACUCUAGUUGAGUUUCAACUUUGUAAGUAUCUCUUCAACAAACCUCCAAUUUCAUUUUGAAUAUGUCUUCUUUAUCUUCUAAGGAGGGGAACUGACAUUAGGGCUGUAACUUUAGAGAUGGGGAUUACUAUAAUGAGCACUGUUGACUUUGUCCACACUAUUAGCUCAAAGCGUCUUACCCAUGAGGAAGGGUUAUAUAGAUUAUGAAGCGGGUUGAGGGCAACUAAGAUUCUUUCAAAGGUAAUUGUUACCGUCUUGGUAGAUAUUAGGAAGAGGUAUUGGAUACCCUAUACAAUAGAGUUGUUAGCACUAUUUCCUGAUGAGCGAGCAUGUUUCCAUAGGCAGGGGUGUGUGGCUGUGAGUGAGUUCCUUGGGGACUUCGUCUCUCCCUUCAUCUUUUCUUUAGAGCUGUCCUUAGGUCAUACAGGCUAACACCUAUCCAUCUCGUCCCCAAUGCUUGGGCCCAAUUAGUAAGGACCUAGUUCAUGUAGAAGGAGACCUACCUUCGUGAGGAUAUACCCCUCCACGUCUUCCAAUAAAUUUUUUAGCCUGUGGUCUUAAAGAAAGGGGAUUCCAAGGGCUAGUAUCUCUAAGUACAUGGAAGCCACACUCUCCGUUCAUCAUCAGCCUUUCCUCUUUCAUUAAAGGAUGGAAGAAAACCUAAUUCUAGGUGAGAAGAUAAUCGCAGACGUACCAGGGUAACAAGGUCCCUCAUAUGACUAUUCCAACAACCUAUUCCGAAACUCGUGAGUGUCCUAUCGUUAGUUGUCUCUAUUCUGCAAUGGAAUUAAUUCUAACUUUUACAAUGUGGCAGGAUCGACCGAUCGCUUCGAGCUGACCUAAACAUAGUUAGGUAUUGUAGAGGACAUUUACCAUCGUCAUCUAUCUUCUCGGGGAGUUAGAAAGGUUGAUCAUUGCUCGUCAAUUUUUUGAAGAAUUUGGACUAACGGCCCGAAUUCAGACUUUAAAGUUUCCCAUACUACUUAUAGUUUAAUAUUAAUACUUAUAAUUUAUUCCUUGUAUUUGUAGAAAAAUUUUGAAAAAAUGAAGUACUCGACCUCUGACAUAGCUUCCAUCCUGGCAGCAACCUCCACAACUGGGAAGAGGGGAUUGAAGCCCUCAUCUAUUACUACCAAGCAGGUGAGGGACAAAGUGGAAAAGAUCAGCAAAGAAGCUACUGACAGUAAGGGAGAAAAACAACCCCUUUAAAAGACAAAGGAAAAAAUAAGGUAGAAGAGGCUCCCAAGAAGUUUAUAUUCUCUUCCAUUGGGAAAGGGGUCCAUAGUAAAUCUCCCUGCUCGAUCUGAAGUCCCUACAGGAGAAAAGUUGAUAGCAGCAUCUAUUAUUACAGUGAAGGGGCAAAAAAGGUCCUCGUCGAUGGAGCCUCUGAGGCAGGAUUUUUCAAAGAAAAUGAGGGUGUUGAGCGAUACCUCAACUAUUUCGGGUGCGGCACCUCUGCGGCUGAAGCUCUCUUUGUCGAAGAGAAGCGAUGAAUUAGCUUCGAAGACUCUGUCCAUGCUACCUCUAGAAGUUCAGAAAGCUACUAUCACAUUCCAUAAGUACUGGACAGAUAGAUAGAAAGCCUUUGGCCCUGUUUGGGCCCGAUUUUUUCCUCCAAAAAAUUGAUUUGUUGACCGUUAUUUUACUAUUCCAGCCGUCAUAUUUGACUUCUUCUCUCACGGGUGGACCCCACUUUUCUUCCAACGGUCAAAAAAUCAAUUCUCAAAAUCACUCCCAAACAACCUCUUUGUCGAGUCCAGUGAUUUGGCAGGUAUUUUUGCUAUAAUAGUGAGCCAAAUGGGAAAAGCGUUUGCGAUUGCUAUAAAGGCUGAAGUCCCCUAUAAAAACUUUCAAAAGAAAAAUAAAGAGUUUUUCAAUAAGACUUCUCAGGCUAAAGAGGUAGCCAAGAAAGCUAAGGUCGAUGCUAAGGCUACAAAGAAGCAUCAGGCUGGAGAGUCCUUGAAUCGUAGGCCCAAAUGCCAUCAUUCCUUGCAUUGGUGCCCCUCCCCAUUCUCCACCUGUUUAGCUUUUAGGCUUUUUAUUUUAUUACUUUUAAUGUAAAUGGCUCCAGCCCCGAUUAUAAUUAUGAAUUUUUUAAUGAAUGGAAAUCCUUUUUUUAUAUUUGUGUAA